UACGGGGGGAGCAAGCGUUGUUCGGAUUUACUGGGCGUAAAGGGCGCGUAGGCGGUCGUGACAAGUCACUUGUGAAAUCUCCGGGCUUAACUCGGAACGGUCAAGUGAUACUGUCGGACUAGAGUACAGAAGGGGCAACUGGAAUUCUCGGUGUAGCGGUGAAAUGCGUGGAUAUCGAGAGGAACACCUGCGGCGAAGGCGGGUUGCUGGGCUGAUACUGACGCUGAGGCGCGAAAGCCAGGGGAGCGAACGGGAU
rnacentral:rRNA from 1 species